AUGCGCCGCUCCCCGCAGUCCGGCUCCGUGCAGUGGUUCAUCGGCGACGAGGGCAACAGGCCGCACCACGCCCGCGACAGCAAGGGCAGGGGCAGCGCCGCCGCCGCGCACGGCCGCGUGGUGCGAGAGGGCGUCGAGUUCUACAUCAAUGGGGACUGCUACGAGGGGGAGUUCCACGACCACAAGGGCCGCUGCAACGGCAGCGGCGUCUACAACUUCUUCGGCAAGGGCAAGUACGAGGGGGACUGGGUGGACGGCAAGUACGAUGGCUACGGCAUCGAGAGCUGGGCGCGCGACAGCCGCUACCGCGGCCAGUAUCGCCAGUGCCUCCGCCAUGGCCACGGCGUCUACCGCUUCUAUAGCGGCGACUGCUACGCCGGCGAGUGGGCCGGCGGCCAGAGCCACGGCAUCGGCGCGCAGACGAUUUCACAGACUACCCAAAACGGAAGGCGAAUUUCAUUUCAUUUCUUUUCUUUACGUCUUUUAGGUCUAGGCUUUCAUCUUCAUCCUUUUGCAAGCUUUAUCGAAAGUGCUAUUGUGAGCUCGAGCUCACAGGCACCCUUUGCUACAGUACAAACAAAAAAAUAUUUAAAAAGUUCAAAAAAUUCUGAAUUUUUUUGGCAACAAACAUUGACAUAUUUUUCACGUGCGUACAAAUUUUCAUGA
rnacentral:rRNA from 1 species